AUGGCGCCGAGGCAGGUAGGGAUAGUGAAGUCGUUCAACGAUGAAAAGGGCUUCGGUCUCAUCACCCCCGCUGGCGGCGGCGCGGAUCUGUUUGUGCACUUCCGCAACAUCCAAGCCUCCGGCUUCAAAUCCCUCAAGGAGGGCCAGAAGGUCACGUUCGUCGCCGUCCAAGGCCAGAAAGGCAUGCAAGCCAAUGAAGUCAUCACUGAGUAA
rnacentral:rRNA from 1 species